rnacentral:rRNA from 1 species
AUACGUAGGGGGCGAGCGUUGUCCGGAAUUAUUGGGCGUAAAGGGUUCGCAGGCGGUCUGAUAAGUCAGAUGUGAAAGGCAAUGGCUCAAACAUUGUAAGCAUUUGAAACUGUCAGACUUGAGUUAAGGAGUGGAAAGUGGAAUUCCUAGUGUAGCGGGGAAAUGCGUAGACAUUAGGAGGAAUACCAGUGGCGAAGGCGACUUUCUGGACUUAUACUGACGCUGAGGAACGAAAGCGUGGGGAGCAAACAGGAUUAGAUACCCUGGUAGUCCACGCCGUAAACGAUGAGUGCUAGGUGUUGGGGGUCAAACCUCGGUGCCGCAGCUAACGCAUUAAGCACUCCGCCUGGGGAGUACGUACGCAAGUAUGAAACUCAAAGGAAUCGACGGGG